UUGUUUGUUUGUGAAGAGCUUUGGAGAUUUGUGAUAAUUUCACUUGAAAGAUAUUUGUAUACUUUUCAAAAUUCUUGCUUUAAGACUUCAUAGCCAUCCUCUAUUUAUAGAUGAGAGACUUGAUGCCACUUCUGAAAAAUAUCUAUUUUGAAUUAAUAAAAAGAGAUUUGAGCUCCAAGAUAAUGUUUGGAGAGAAAGUAUGAUAUUUGCUCUUUCAUAACGUUCUCUGCGUACAAUCAGAUUUGAGAACUUCUUCAGACGUUAUUGCAAGCUGUAAUGAGCUGUGGAAGAGUUGUAAAGUAUUCCAGCCAUUUCAUGAGACUUUUUUUUUUUUGAAGGAAAGCCAUUUCAUGAGACAUGUUGAGCCCAUUUAAUGUCAUAUGCUUUUAUCACAAAGAUUACAUUUGAUAUGCACUUUUCAUGGAUCCUUUAUUUCUUUUCUUAAUGGGUCGAAAUUCUAUU
rnacentral:lncRNA from 1 species